rfam:Salmo salar isolate Sally breed double haploid chromosome ssa25, whole genome shotgun sequence.
UGCAUUCACUACUGUAAAUUGCUCUGGAUAAGAGCGUCUGCUAAAAUGACUAAAA